CCCUUAGAUGUCCUGGGCCGCACGCGCGCUACACUGAUGCAUGCAACGAGUUUAUAACCUUGGCCUGAAAGGUCUGGGUAAUCUUUUGAACGUGCAUCGUGAUAGGGAUAGAUUAUUGCAAUUGUUAAUCUUGAACGAGGAAUUCCUAGUAAACGCGAGUCAUCAGCUCGCAUUGAUUACGUCCCUGCCCUUUGUACACACCGCCCGUCGCACCUACCGAUUGAAUGCUCAGGUGAGCCAUUCGGACUUUCAUCAUGCUGGUUUCCAGUUUUGAUGAAGGAAAGUCUUGCGAACCUUAUCAUUUAGAGGAAGGAGAAGUCGUAACA
rnacentral:rRNA from 1 species